GACCUUACCCUCUGUUACCUUAGAGUGAGCAAGAUAUUACUUAUAGGUUCCAGCACAUAAACCUUAGGUUUAGAGUCAAGUAUAGGUAUAUAAGUGCCCUAGGAAAGUUUAACUGGUAGUCUAUUAGUAGUGACUUGGCGGGCCUCACUCUGUGAGUAAGAUUCUACUCUUAGAUUUCAUUUUAUAAAUCCUAGGUUAGGAGUCAAGCCAUAGGAUAACUCUGAUUUGUAGUUUGUUAGUGGUGUCUUGGCGGGUCUCACUCUUUGAGUGAGCAAGAUCUUGCUCAUAAACUUUAUCAUAUAAAUCCUGUUGGUAUAGAAUUUCAUC
rnacentral:lncRNA from 1 species